ACUUCUGUGAUGACACUCCUGUCUGUCCCAUAAAAUCUUGAGGUUCAGCAAUGACAGUGGCCUUCCUUCAAAGGGCUGUAGUAGCCAUGAAAGGCUUUCUCUCAACUUGCUCUACUCAGAAAACAUCAUCUGAGGUAUGGCUCUCUGAGUCAAGCAAACCUGAUCUGUGCUUCUUCAGGGUAAAAACUCUUUGCUUUCCCAGUCCCCAUCCUGCUGUCCAUCUGCUUGAGAAAUGUGGGAAGAGAGGCUGUCAUUGAAGACAGAACCCACUGGAGUGCUGGCCUGGAUUUGGGAUGAGCCAAUUAGCCUGGAGCUGUGAGAUUUUUCCUGUCAGAAAUCCAUGAUGGAGAUGUUCUUCCUGGUUGUCCCAAAGGGAAGGUGGGACCAGGCCUUUUCGUGAGCACACAAGUUAACAGACCAAACAAGCAGACCCUGGGAUGAAGAAGCCCACCCUGCUGAGGAGGAAGAUGAGCAUGUGUGGGAGGAUGGAGACAGUGGUCACCAAAAGCUGGGGAAGGCAGAGGUUGCCUUCCAAGGGGAGGGACAUGUCUAUCCUGUUGGAAUUUGGGCUGUGAGACCAAAGGGAAAAAAAAGGUUAGAUCUGAAUUUCUACUUGGGUUCUAAUGUGCCAUUGAAGAGAUUUCUAAAAAGCUCAUUAUCUGUGAUGGGACCUUGGAAAAACAGGAAUUGAAGCUUUCUAAAGUGGCCUAAACCUGCCUGCAAGUAUCCACAUGCAGCUGCCAAUUUGUGGUUUUGAGUAGACCUGCAGUAAGGCCACAUGGAACUGGACCGGAACAGUGGCCUCUUUUCAUGGGAAAGAAACACUUAUACCCCCAGUGUCUUGGGGUCAGGUGAGAGGUGUCUUUGACGCUCCAAGGGCAGUGAGAGUCCUAGUUGCUGGCAGCUUUGGCUUCAGAGAAAUCCUGCAAAAUAGGCAAAUUUAGGAGGUGGCAGCUCACUGUCAGCCAAAGUGACUGGAUGUGAAUGGUGGAUAUUUUCCAUGGGAAAAAAAACUUCAUUCCUUCAGUGUGUCAGGGUCAGCUCAGAGUUAGCAUUUGGGGCUCCAAAGGCAGUUGGAUUCCUAGUUGCUAGCAGCUUUUGUCUUGGAGAAAUCCUGCAAUGUUAGCGAUUUUGGGAGGUGGCACCCUUCUGUUCCAAGAUGCGACUGGACAUGGAGAGUUGCCAUUUUCCAUAGGGGAAAAAACCUUCUUCCCCCAGUGACCUGGGGUCAAGUAGGAGGUGGCAUUUCGGGUUCCAAGAGUAGUCAGACUGCCAGUUGGAGGCAGCUUUUGUCUUGGAGAACUUGUGCGAUGCUGGCAAUUUUAGGGAGCUGAACCCCACAACCAGCCAGCUGUGGCAGGAGACAAAAAAUGGUCAUUUUCCAUAGGGAAAAAAAUCUUGUUCCCCCAGUGGCCUGGGGUGAAGCCACAGGUGGUGUUUGGGUCUCCAAGGGCAGCCAGAGUCCUAGUUGCAGGCAAUAUUAGUUGGGGAGAAAUCCCGAGAUGUUUGCAAAUUUUAUGUCGGCACCCCUCUAUCAUCCAGGAUGAGCGGCUGGAAAUGAAGGCCAUUUUCCAUGGGAAAAAGAAGUCAUUUCCCCAGGGUCUCUGUAUCAGCUCAGAGGUGAAAUUUAGGGCUGUAAGGGAAUCCUUGGUCCUAGUUUCUGUCAGCUUUAGUUCUGAAGAAAUCCAGUGAAGUUUGCAAAUUUGUAGGUUGGCACCCCACUGUCAUCCAGCGCAAGUGGCCACAAAUGGAGCUAAUUUUCCUUGGGAAAAAGAAGUUAUUUCUCCAAAGUCUGGGUAUCAGCUCAGAGGUGGCAUUUGGGGCUGUAAGGGUGUGCAGGGUGCUGGUUGCUGGCAGCUUUGUUUUUGGAGAAACCAGGCAUGGUUUCUGCCUCCUGCUGUUGGUUGGUGCAACAGCAUGCGAAUAAUGGUCAGUUUCCACAGGAAAUAGAUCUCAUUCCCACAGUGUCCUGUGGUCAGGUCACGGGUGGCAUUUGGGGCUUCAAAGUCAGUCAGAGUUGUGGGAAAUAGUAAAGGAAAAAAGGUUUUUAGAAACUUGGGAAAUGUAGGUUUUAGAAACAGAAAGAGUAGAGAAACUUAUAGAUAGUUUUAGUUGUUUAAUUUGAAGGUAGAAAAAGUUAUAAUAGUAUAGUAAGAAAAGAUAUGAAACAAUAGUUUGAGCUUUAGGCUUGGUCAAGAUAGAUUUUAAGAUCGUAGAAAAAUGUAUUUAGCAAGAUAGUAGAAGGUUUUAAGUUUAAUAAUGGUGUAUUGUUAAUAGAAAGAUUAGUAAAUAUUGUGUGAUGUAAGUCCAUGUGUAUUUUUAGUAAUUGCUUAAAACAACUGUCCGUAAGCUUUAGUAAAAUGUUAUUGCUUAAAAAGUUUUAAAGAUGCUCUGUAAAUAAGUAAUCUUUGGCUGUUGUUUGGCGUA